rnacentral:rRNA from 1 species
UACGUAGGGCGCAAGCGUUAUCCGGAAUUAUUGGGCGUAAAGAGCUCGUAGGCGGUUCGUCGCGUCGGCUGUGAAAUCCCGGAGCUCAACUCCGGGUCUGCAGUCGAUACGGGGGGACUUGAGUUCGGCAGGGGAGACUGGAAUUCCUGGUGUAGCGGUGAAAUGCGCAGAUAUCAGGAGGAACACCGGUGGCGAAGGCGGGUCUCUGGGCCGAUACUGACGCUGAGGAGCGAAAGCGUGGGGAGCGAACAGG